UCAGACUUUCGCCUCUGAAGGAAGACCUGCAAGGAAGUACCUUGAUACAUCAUUUUCCAACCCAGAACAUGAAUAUCACAGAGUCAAGGAUCAUAAAGAAGAAAUUUCCUCCAACACACAUGAAUAUGAAAAAAGUAUCGACGGUGCGGAUGAACUUGUCUACCAUAUUGACUAUAAUGGGCCGAAAACGCAUCCGAAUCCGCCCGAUCAUCCAUAGGCACACAUUUUUUCUGUAUAAUCUAUCAAAUGCUCUGUUUUAUUCAUGUAACAAUUAUGUUACAAUUCUAUAUACAAACUAUUAAAUGUCAUGUGCUAUGAUCACAAUAAGCACUUAAAUGUGAA